GACGAACCGUGCGAACGUUGUUCGGAAUCACUGGGCUUAAAGGGCGCGUAGGCGGGCUAUCAAGUCCGGGGUGAAAUCCUCCAGCUUAACUGGAGAACUGCCUCGGAUACUGAUGGUCACGAGGAGGAUAGGGGCACACGGAACUGUGGGUGGAGCGGUGAAAUGCGUUGAUAUCCAUAGGAACUCCGGUGGCGAAAGCGGUGUGCUGGAUCCUUUCUGACGCUGAGGCGCGAAAGCCAGGGGAGCAAACGGGG
rnacentral:rRNA from 1 species